rnacentral:rRNA from 1 species
CCUACGGGAGGCAGCAGUGGGGAAUAUUGCACAAUGGGCGAAACCCUGAUGCAGCGACGCCGCGUGAAGGAAGAAGGAUUUCGGUAUGUAAACUUCUAUCCGCAGGGAAGAAAAUGACGGUACCUGACUAAGAAGCCCCGGCUAACUACGUGCCAGCAGCCGCGGUAAUACGUAGGGGGCUAGCGUUAUCCGGAUUUACUGGGCGUAAAGGGAGCGUAGGCGGUUUUUUAAGUCAGAAGGGAAAGGCCGGGGCUCAACCCCGGGACGGCUUUUGAAACUGGUGAACUAGAUUGCAGGAGAGGUAAGUGGAAUUCCUAGUGUAGCGGUGAAAUGCGUAGAUAUUAGGAGGAACACCAGUGGCGAAGGCGGCUUACUGGACUGUAACUGACGCUGAGGCUCGAAAGCGUGGGGAGCAAACAGGAUUAGAUACCCUAGUAGUC